CAUUGCAUCACUUUGGAAGGUGCAGAAAUUACAGACAUCUAGAAUGUUCCAGUUCUCCUGUUCCACAGAUGAACUCUUCAUCCUCAAAGACAAUCUGAAUGUCGACACAUGUGAUCAACGUGCAUCUCUGAUAUUACACAAAGCUUCAUCAAUUCUGACACAGAGAAGAGAGAAGAGGAUAAUCACAUUAGGCCAGACAGCGGAGAGAAGACUCUUUCUGGCAGGUGCUGUGGAGAGACCUGGUCCUCGCACUGCAGCCCAGCAAGAACAAAAGCUGCCAGAAGGCCUCUGUGGUUGAUUCAGUGGCGCCAAGCUGCCACAGUGAUUUCCCAGAACCCACUGAAAGUGCAGUGCAACUGAGGCAAAAUCCAAGUCAGCUGCUCUAAUAUGAAGUCCUCGUCACAUUUUCACCAUCAAACAAAAAGUCACAAUGACCUCAUUUUUUCCCCCUCUUAUUUUUGGGAAAGGCAACAACUGCGACUAUGGUGGGUCUUAUUUCUGAAUUCUUAUACAAUUAGAUGGAAACUUUUUGUCAGUUUUUUUCUUCAAAUAUAAUAUCUUCAGAUGUAAGUUAUAGGGACAUUGAAGUUCUCAUUGUGGAUUCUCAUUGUGCAUUAUGGGUUUUUCCUUAAAGUUGGGAUAGUUUUCAAUAAUAAUUUUCAACUAUUUUAGUUGAAAAUUUGCCCAGGUAGGUUUUUUUGCCCUUUAGUUUAUUAAAAGGCAAUUCCAAUGCAACCUCACAAAAAACAAAUAAAAUGGCAUUCUUUCUAAAUGGUAAUGUAGUUUUUAAAUAUUUGUUCAUGUUUGUUCAAAAGCAACUAUCAUUUUUUAACAAACAUAAAAUCACAACAUGCUUGAUAAAUUUUAGACAGAAAAGACCAAAAUUAUAUUCAUGUUUACAAAUUUAAUUGUAAUUACACAAAACAUGAACAUGCAGAAUUUUUAUUCAGUUUUCUUUUGUCUUAAUCAAAAAUGUAACUUUAACAACAAUGUUUUAUUUCUUUUUGGCUGAUUAAAUUGUUUCAUUUUAGUUAAAUGUGUCUGUUUGGCACAUCACCUUAAUGCUGUUUCUUUUAUUUUUGUUAUUAUUUGUAUUUAAACUUAACUUCGAGUUUUUCAAAAGUGAAUAAAGUCUGAAAUUGAAUUUAUCCUUUAAACAGACAUUAUUAGAAGCAGUUCUUUCUUUUAUAAAGAUAACUUGGACCCAUCACUGGAAU
rnacentral:lncRNA from 1 species